GGGGGUGGUGGUGGCUUUCACUUCACCUCAACUACUGGAAAAUAAAUGACUUCAAGAGAAAAAAAAUGAAAUCAAAUAAAUGUCUUAAAGUACUGAACUUGAUUUGUCUUACCUUUAAAAGUAAGAUAGGGCUCAGUUAAAAGUAACUAUUAGAGGACCUUAGUCCCCUGGACUCACCCUAAGACUCCCAGCCAAAAGGUUUUAUUUGCUAGUACAGGGUACCUAGAACAAAGAACAAAUUGCAAUGGGGUGUGACAAACAAAAAAGUAAAACAACAGCAAGAAAAUUUUUAAUUAACAAUUUUAACUAAUAUUAAUUACCUUUUGGAUCAUUAAAAGAAAAACAAAAGCAUCAACAAAAAUCUUCUAUGAUUAAUUUUUACAAUUUGUCAGUUUGUUGACAGGAAAAUCUGAGCCUACAUUGUUACCACUGAUAGAGUUUCUGAAUCUAGAAGACCUGAUUCUAUUCUUGACACUACCUCCCAUAGCCUUUAAACAUUUAAGUUCUAUGCCUCACACUCCCUGGCAACCUCAUCUAGAUGUUACAAAGACAGAUCAGAGUAAAAAGAUACAAACUAUUCCCUUCUAUUAUACAUAUAUAGGAAAGACUUUCAAGACCAGAGAGGACUACUAUAGAUAUUAAACUUUAAGGAUCCCUUCCUAAAGAACAGUGGUUCUCAAAUUUUAGCAUGCAUCAGAAUUACCUGGAGGGCUUCUUAAAUGCAGAAAGCUCCCUCCCUAAGUAGAAUUUGCCUUCUAAGAGUUCCCAGGUGAUGCUGAUGUUGAUACUGAUGCGGCUAAGUCAGUGGACCACUCUUUGAAAACACUGUUUUAGAAUGCUGGAAGGUAUGCCAUAUCCAUUAUCCACACUGUCUCCAUACCCAUGAGGGUUGGGGUAGAAGACUAGCAACCAAACAAAUUUUUACCCAUCCACAUAACAUCCAGUUGUCUUUCUCCCUGGCUUUCAUUUAUCCACUAUAAAACAAUCUUACAAUAAUACCCUAGAGAUCCUUUCAUAAGUGGAAGAUAGAUCCUUUCAUAAUUCAUUUUUCCUACAAACUCUAAGCAACAAGUUUCUUUUUUUUUCUUUUUCUUUUUUGUCUUUUUGCCAUUUUUUGGGCCGCUGCCUCGGCAUGUGGAGGUUCCCAGGCUAGGGGUCUAACUGGAGCUGUAGCCGCCAGCCUACGCCACAGUAUGACCCUAAAAAGACCAAAAAAAAAAAAAAAAAAAAGAUACAGGUGAAGAACAGAAUUAUGUACAAAUCCAGCUUAACUGUCUUCCCCCAACCUUCUAUCCUAUGCUAUUGCCAAAUUAAGAAAAAAAUUGAUAACUCAGUUUCCAGAAAUUGACAGUAUAAUCCAAUUGUUUCAUCAUGAAAAUAGUUGGAAGAAAAUAUUUAAAAGAAAUGGUGCCCUCUCUUUGAAUCAGGUCAUCAAUCUUCUUAGAAGUAAAAAUAGAACAAAAAUAACAGACAGGACAUCGUGUAACAUGUAUUUUCACAUACGAAAGAUUAUUUUCCAAUCCUAUAGCUAAAAUCUUUCCAAAAAAUAGUACAGUCCUCCUUAGUGCCUAAUUAUAUGUAUGUAUUAGUAUGCUUCAACAUAGAAGAGUGUUACCUUAGAGAGUGGUAUUCUUUACUACUGCUGAAAAAGUAGGAAAAAAAUAACAAGCUGCUCUCUAUAUUAAGAAUCACAUUCAGGCAUAAAGGAAAACAAAGAAUUACUGUCCUAUGAAAUACACACCAAGUUGCACUCUGUCCCCAAAUCCUAGUAUCACUGUAUUUGGGGCAUUGAAUGUGCACCACUGGAAGGGAAUGGAGGAAAUGAAUAAAGCUGCAUGAUCUGGGUUGGAGGGGACUGGGACUUGUAGUAACAUGUUCUUGCUCAAAAUGCCCAGAAAAACUUUAUUAGAUCAACCUUAAAUUACUGGCAGAUUAUGAACUGGUUUCAGCAGAGGACAGAGAUACUGUAGGAAAACUUUUUAUUCUGCUGUACUGGUACUUGACAGAAAUUUCAGGUGCACUUACAUAAGGCUUCAAAUGCAUUUAAGUAAGUAUUUCUUGGCUUUUUAUUUUUUUUUAAAGCCUGAAGAAUGCUCUUUCACAAGUAAUACAAAGUAGUAGGAACACAUAUUUAGCUAACUUAAUAGCAAUGAAACCUCCCACUUUGCUGCAGUAAAACAUUAUGGCAAACCCCCUUCUAGAGGAUAGGAAAGUGUUAUUGCAUUUCUUUUCCAGAAAUGAAUAUACUCAAUCAGCAAGUGUUCUCAAAAGCACCAAAUAACUCCUUCCAAGGAAGCUUGUUUUCUGAACUCUUCACCCUGCAUAAUUUCUGAAUUUUUCUCCUCUCCUCUUUCCUAAUUUUAACAUAAUCAGGUGUGAAUCCAAAAACAGGUGUUUCCUAUUUGCAUUUGCUGCAGAAAAAAAACCUUAAUGUUCUUUAGGGAAUGUAUGGGUGAAUGCUGGAAGAGAAUGGUAAAAGAUAAAAUAAUAAUGAAUAAAACAAACCCAAGAAUAUUGUUUCUCUGCUUAUACUGCUGCCAAGAAGAUGAUAUAAAUUUCCUCUCCUUGUGGAGAAUUACCUAAUUAUAGAAAAAAGCAUGCUCUUUGCUUAUAAUAUCAAAAGUGGAUAUUUUAGAAUGAUACAAGCUGUCCUCUAAAAAUAGGGCCAGAAAAGAGAAGUGUGGUAACUGCAGCAUUUGGGGGAUUGGCAGGAAGCACCAUCUCAAUACACAUCAAUCAUACCUUUGUCAUCACCUCUCUAUCCCCUCAGCUCCUCGAGAAGCAGUUAGCAACUGUGGUCUCCAGAUCAGCAGCAGCAGCAGCAGCACCAGCACCAGCUGGGAACUAAUUAGAAAAUCCAAAACACUGGGCCCCACCGUAGACCUACAGAAUCAGAAACUGAUGGUAGAACAUAGGAAUCCGUCUCAACAAGCCUUCCAUGGGAUUCUGACUUGACGAGCCUUACAGAAACUUACUGUCUUCCAGUUCAUUCUGGCUUUUAAUCACAUGAGACCAGAAUUGUUACUAAAUAUUUCUACAGGCAUACAUUCUCCAACUAAUUUAUGAGAUCCUUGGGGUAAAAAUUCUCUUUCCUUGCCCUCUUUGCUUUCCCUUAUCCACCAGUACCUUACAUAAAGCCAGGAAGUAAAAGAAAACCUAAGGAGCAUUCACAAUGCAGCAACGGGGAGGAGGUCUUUGGGGAAGAGUUCUCCCUUUUGGAAUAUGAUAUGCCCAUCUACCUGAGAUAGAUCUAUCUCCCUUAGUUAUGAUCUAGGAAUAAAAGGGUGCAGUUCCCCAAUAUAUAGUCUAAAGAGGAUUCAUUCAUUCUCAGGAUGGAAGUGCUCAGCUUCAGAAUUUGGAUAAUCCAACUGAAAAACAAAAACUGCACAAAAUAUUUCCCCCAAAGGCUUGGUAACCUGGAAUACAGAGGAAAGAAAAGGUAGCACUUCUUUUUCAGAAGCACACAGUAGGGGUCAUAUACAUAGACAUGUUCAUUGUUACCCCCGGCCAGAAAUAACCUUCCAAACUCUUUUAAUAUGAAAAUGCUGUUCUAGUUGCCUUCUCUUUACCACAUCUGAACAUAAAAGGCAAAUAUCUCCCCUCACACACAGGGUGUCCUCACUAUCCUUGAGUAAAAUGGAACUAGUGGCUCUGUUGCUAAUGAGUCAGGUUCUGAGUUUAAUAAAUGUCAGGAGCAUAGUGGUGAUUCCUGGGGAGGCUCUAACCGCAGGGGAAUUGCUCCACCUGGCAUAAAUAAAUGAAAUGUGUUCAGAUGUGUUUGUUAGCACUGAUCAUGUAUCCUAUUAAACUGAACGUGCAGACAUGUUCCACAUUAUGAUAGAAAGCAUCACCUUAGCCUGAACCUGAUUUUUUUUCCUCCUUGAGUGGAGGGGUGGGGGAGAUUUAUAUAACGUUUUUUUGUAAUUGAAGAAUAGUUGAUUUAUGAUGUUGUGUUAGUUUCAGGUGUACAGCAAAGUGAUAGUUACAUGUAUGUGUGUGUAUACAUAUAUUCUUUUUCAGAUUCUUUUCUAUUACAGGUUAUUAUAAGAUACUAAAUAUAGUUCCAUGUGCCAUAUACUUUGGACUUAAUAUUUUUAAGAAGUGACUGACCACUUGAGUGAGGCUUCUCUCCUGUUCUUCCACUUCUGCAAUUAAUACACCCACAGUUUCUUCAAGCUGAUCUGAAAAGGGGCCCUGUUUUGGACUGAAUAUUUGUGCACCCUGAAAAUUUUUAUAUGUUGAAACUAACUCUCAUGGUAUUUGGAGGUAAGGCCCUCAGAAGGUAAUUAGGUUCAGGUGAGGUCCUGAGGCUGGUGCCCUUGUGAUGGGAUUGGGGUCCUCAUUAGACAACAGAGAGCUUGCCCAUGUAUGCUCUCUCUCCUCCCUCCUCUCCCCCUCCACCAUGUAAGGACAAAGCAAGAAAGCAGCUGUCUAUGAACCCAGAAGAGGGCUUUCACCAGAUACCAAAUCUGCCAGCCCCUUGAUCUUGGAUUGCCCAGAACUGUAAGAAAUAAAUGUUCAUGCUUUAAACUACCCAAUCCGUCAUGUUCUGUUAUAGCAUACUGAACAGACUGAACAUCCCUUUAUGGCUUCAUGCUAGACCUCUAACUGUAAGUCCUUAGCAAAGAGAGGAAAACUUUUUGUUUGCAUAUGCCAAUACAUGUGUGAGCUGAAUCAUGUGUAUGCAGUCCAGCUGGACCAAUGUAAGCAGUGACCUACAGAGAGGAAAUGGUAGGCAAUGGGUGCCUAUCCUCAAGAAACUAAGUAAUGUCUAUGAGCCAGGUAAUCAGACAGCAACAGAGAACUGCCAGACCUGAGAACCAAGUGCACACUAAGGCAAGAGGCAUUCUCAGCAGAAAUGACUGCCAUGCCUCCACUGCCGUGAACUUAGGAGUUGGGAAGAACUCUAAAAAUGACAAAGGUCAAAUUUCUCUCUAGCUUGGUGGAAAUGGGGAAGGUCCUCUGCUGAAAAUUAAGCUAUCCAAGAAGAAUUUUUACAUUGUGAAUAUUUCUUUUUGACCUGAGUUUUAUACUUGUGACACACAUGGCUCCUGAUCAAGAGCCCUUAGAGGAGUAUACAUGUCAAAUCUAUGUCUCUGCAGAGCAAGUAUGAGAUAU
rnacentral:lncRNA from 1 species